rnacentral:rRNA from 1 species
GACGGCCUUCGGGUUGUAAACCUCUUUUAGCAGGGAAGAAGCGAAAGUGACGGUACCUGCAGAAAAAGCGCCGGCUAACUACGUGCCAGCAGCCGCGGUAAUACGUAGGGCGCAAGCGUUAUCCGGAAUUAUUGGGCGUAAAGAGCUCGUAGGCGGUUUGUCGCGUCUGCUGUGAAAUCCGGAGGCUCAACCUCCGGCCUGCAGUGGGUACGGGCAGACUAGAGUGCGGUAGGGGAGAUUGGAAUUCCUGGUGUAGCGGUGGAAUGCGCAGAUAUCAGGAGGAACACCGAUGGCGAAGGCAGAUCUCUGGGCCGUAACUGACGCUGAGGAGCGAAAGGGUGGGGAGCAAACAGGCUUAGAUACCCUGGUAGUCCACCCCGUAAACGUUGGGAACUAGUUGUGGGGUCCAUUCCACGGAUUCCGUGACGCAGCUAACGCAUUAAGUUCCCCGCCUGGGGAGUACGGCCGCAAGGCUAAAACUCAAAGGAAUUGACGGGGACCCGCACAAGCGGCGGAGCAUGCGGAUUAAUUCGAUGCAACGCGAAGAACCUUACCAAGGCUUGACAUAUACGAGAACGGGCCAGAAAUGGUCAACUCUUUGGACACUCGUAAACAGGUGGUGCAUGGUUGUCGUCAGCUCGUGUCGUGAGAUGUUGGGUUAAGUCCCGCAACGAGCGCAACCCUCGUUCUAUGUUGCCAGCACGUAAU